rnacentral:misc_RNA from 1 species
ACGGUGGCGAUCGAUGCGAUGACAUUUCGCAAGCCGGUCUAUGUCGGCGAUGUGGUGUCGGUAUACGCGACGACUGUACGCGUCGGCCGCACCUCGAUCACGGUGCAUGUCGCAGCGUGGGUGCAGCGGCGCAAUGAAUCGGAACUGAUUCUGGUGACCGACGGGAACUACACCUAUGUCGCGGUGGACGAUAAUGGUCAUCCACAGAUGAUUGG